UGCUCUGUCUUCUAACUUUCUCAUUUGACGAUCUCACCUACGCACGGGAUAGACCUUCAGCUGCUUUAGAGGAUAUGUUUCAUCCAGAAGUGUUUAGGACUGGAGCAUGUUGACCUGUUUAUCUCUCAGCCCUGGUGAAAACGAUUAGAGUAAAAUGUCAUUACUUGCAGAGUAGAUGGAGAGAGAGUGACGGUUCAAUGAGGCUGUGCACUGAACUGGCAUGAAAUCCAAGUAAAUGACCAUAAUUUUGUACGUCAAAUUAAACUCAUUUGAGGAUGAGGAACAUCAAGUACAAUAUUCAAGAGUGUGAUCAGAUCAUUAGAAUAACAGAUCAAAACAUAAAGAUACUGUACUCAUCAGACUAUUGAAAUACUGUACCAAUCAUCUCCUGUUUUAUGAUGCUUUUAUGUGGGAUGCCAUUAAAUAUUCAGUGUCGUAGUGGAUUUCUGUUUGUCUCUCUCUCUCUGUUUAUGUUGAGUCAUCUGACAAACAAGCAGCGAGUGCAAUUACCUCAGUCCAUUAUUCAGAUAUUAAACUUAGCAGGGAUCAGAAGUAAAACAGAUGACAAGAAAAUUAUUGUUGAUAUAUAACGUGAGCCAUAGUUAUAUUUAGAGCCAGA
ensembl:lncRNA